rnacentral:rRNA from 1 species
UACAGAGGUCUCAAGCGUUGUUCGGAUUCAUUGGGCGUAAAGAGCUCGUAGGCGGUCUGUCGCGUCGGAUGUGAAAACUCGGGGCUCAACCCCGAGCCUGCAUUCGAUACGGGCAGACUAGAGUUCGGUAGGGGAGACUGGAAUUCCUGGUGUAGCGGUGAAAUGCGCAGAUAUCAGGAGGAACACCGGUGGCGAAGGCGGGUCUCUGGGCCGAUACUGACGCUGAGGAGCGAAAGCGUGGGGAGCGAACAGG